AGCAUGGUGGCUCUGAGGGCCACCAAAUAAGGAAGGGCAUCAUUUUCCCUACUUAUCGGUGCGCAUGCCAGUGAGCCCAGCAAUGUGCCUCGUUCAUGGCAGCAUCCCCAAACAUGGUUUGGAAGAGAUGUAGGUGCUGCAUGGAGCUGAGAGUUGCCAUACGUCAUUUAUCUAGAAAAGAGGACAGCUGUCUUUUCCCAAAGCUCCGGUGACCCUGCCCCACCCAGUGUGACUAGCCCAGGCCCAGCUGCUCUGCCACUUGGACAGCCCAUUGCCCACAGGAGCCUCAUUCCGGGUGUUGCUGUGGCUCCGUGAAGCCCCCGAGAAAGCAGCCUCUGGC